GUACACGCUGUGACUAGCAUAUCAAUAAGCGGAGGAAAAGAAACUAACAAGGAUUCCCCUAGUAACGGCGAGUGAAGCGGGAAGAGCUCAAAUUUGAAAUCUUAAAGGGUUUCCCUUUACGAAUUGUAGUUUAAAGAAGUGUUUUCUGUUGAGGUUUUGGUAAAAGUUCUUUGGAAUAGGACAUCAUAGAGGGUGAGAAUCCCGUAUUUGACCUUUACUUUCAACUUUGUGAUACACUUUCAAAGAGUCGGAUUGUUUGGGAAUGCAGUCCAAAAUGGGUGGUAAAUUUCAUCUAAAGCUAAAUAUUGGCGAGAGACCGAUAGCGAACAAGUACCGUGAGGGAAAGAUGAAAAGAACUUUGAAAAGAGAGUUAAACAGUACGUGAAAUUGUCAAAAGGGAAGCGUUUGACACCAGUGUUGUUUUUCUGAAAAUCAAUUAAAGAACUGUUUAUGCUAAGUUGUUUAGACUUUAUCAGCUAUCUGCUUAGUUUUGAGCUUUUCUUUAAUGCACUUUUCAGUUAACAAGUCAACAUCAAUUUCUUUUGCUGUAAAAAAGCUUGAGGAAGGUGGCUUGAGAUUCGUCUUAAGUGUUUAUAGCCUCUUGCCUAUGCAGUCGGAGAGAUUGAGGUCUGCAGCGUAGAUCCUUCGGGGCUAAAUGCAUUUGUGCUAAGUUAUAGCAUUUUAUAGACAACUUGUUGACUAUGAUUUGUCUUGUAGCUUACUCGCUUAUGUUAUUUUACCUACGCUUAGGAUGUUGACGCAUGAGAUAUACGC
rnacentral:rRNA from 1 species